rnacentral:tRNA from 1 species
ACCUGGGUGGCUCAGUUGGUUGAGCAUCUGACUUCGACUCAGAUCAUGAUCUCACGGUUUGUGAGUUCGAGCCCUGCGUCAGGCU